CAGGAGUUCUUUUACACCAGUGCAUGUGUAGAUGGAGUAUUUUUUCCAAAGAGUCCCAGGCAAUUACUAUCUGAAAAAUCAAUCAAUCCAGUCCCAUAUGUGAUAGGAGUAAAUAAUGGUGAAUUUACAUGGGUACUUCCUAUGCUAAUGAAAUUUCCUCCUUUCAUGGAUGGUCUGGA